AAUACAGAUUAGAGUGAACAAUAUUUAGGAAGACUUUACAGGUUCCCCAACGUACCCCCAACUGCCCAACGUACGGCCCACGGGCCGGAUGCGGCCCUUGGCACCAUUUUGUGGCCCGCGGCGUGUAAGCGGAAGCAUUCCCGCUGCUUUCCGGAUGUUUUCCCCUGUAAUUUGUAAACAAAAUCUUCCGGAUGCAUUUUUCGCUGAUUCUCGCAGCCCAGAACAUACGUAUAGGAGAUCCUGCAGAGGGUAAUCCUGUAGCGGACAUUUUUUUUUAUCUGCAGGGGCGCAGAAAAAGUUAGAGCUAUAGGAGGGCGGAUGUCCUGCAGAGGACAUAUUUCUUAUUCUACGGGGGCGCAAAAAAAGUUCAAAUAAUACGUUGUAAGGGGGCGAAAAUCCCGUAGAAGACAUAUUUCAAAAUCUAAGAGGGUGCAAAAAAGUUAGAGAAAUAUGUCUAGGAGGGCGAAGAUCCUGCAAAAAAGGCGCAAAAAGGGCGCAAAAAAGUUAGAAUAAUACCUUCUAGUGCAGGCCUGCCCAACCUUUUCAAGCAACGGGCCAAUUUUCAAAAUGGCCACUUGCAUGCGGGCCAGACAAUAUUCGGUACAUUUUUUAUACAUUUAUACACAAUAACCAAAAUAAAAUAUAUUUUUUCCCGAAUGGCAUUUAGUUUUACAGAAUGGUUAAAAUUGUUUAAAAGAAAAACUAAGCAUGAAUUAAAUCUUGUUUGAACAAUUUUUUAUGUGUGCUUAUUUUAUUUCUCUUUUUAUAUGGGAUUGUUGGCUUCUUUCCAAUACUCGACGCAUAUUGAUUUCGCAAUCGUUGAUCGAUUUUUGCAAGCGAGAUAAUGAAGAUCAACAAUUACUUUUUUACUGCUUUCAUUCUUGAUAAGAGUUGUUCACACAGAUAUGAUUUCUGGAGAGAGAAAAUAUCUUACGAAAGAUAUGUCUUUCUGAAAUUUAGAUUUGAGCACGUUGCUGCAUUGGAGGUCAAUUAUUUCCAUUUGAAACAUUCUAAGUACGUUAUUCAAACCAGUGAACGGUGUUGAGGAACUGUGUUCUCAAAAAUAAGCGAAUAGGUUUGAAAAUUUCUGUUCGUAGGUUUCGACUGUUUUCUACCGGAAUUUGAGAAAUGUAUCCGUUUUCGACAAUCAAUUGUGCCAAAUUGUUUCAAUUUUAUUUCAAUAGUUUGCAUGUUGGAUAAUAAAGGUUCGAUGUGUUGAUCCUUGAUUUGCAGCUUUAUGUUCAUGUUAUUGAGAUGAUUGGUGGCAUCUACUAUAAAUCUCAGUAAUUCAUUCAUCCAGGAUCAUGCAGCUUGGGCAUUGGAUUUGCUUUAUCUUGUAAAAAUGGUGUAAUUUCCUUUCGAAGAGAAUAAAAUCUCUCAAGCAAGGUACCACGGGAUAGCCAACGAACUUCACAAUAACACAACAAAUCACUUCCAUUUCCCUCAACAUAAUUUGGAAUUAGUGGUGGUUAAGUUUCCUCGCAUAGGUAAAGUUGAUUUUUCUAAUAACUAGCGUCGCUGCAUCACGAAUAUUGAUAGUUUUUGCACAUAUAAAUUUUUUGGUAAAAAAUGCAAUGUGCAAAGAUUUAUCACAGAAUAACUUUUGUUUCUUAAUAACAAUCGUAUAACAAAAAAAAACAAAUUGCUUUAAUUUUCAAGUGUCACAACGCCUGUGUUCUUUCCCGUCAUCGCCGGUGCCUCAUAUGUGUUUAGGCCUUAAGUUUUCCAAGAAAAGUUGAAGCUCCUUCAUACGGGUUUUAACAGCUUUCCUCAGGUAUAUACCUGAAGUAGUUGUUACCUUUAUUAAGAUCAAAACUGCUAAUUCCUUUGUAAUCUAAAGAUGAUUCUCUGUCUUGGAAAGCUCUCAUCAGUUUUGUUAAAAUCUCAUUAACAGCAAAACUGGCCCAGAUUUAAUUCUUAUAAUUAGUAAUAACCUACAGAAGGAGCUUUUCGAGUCAGAUAUAAAGGCUUUCGGGCCGCAUAUGAAGUAUUUUUUCUUACACGCCGCGGGCCACAAAAAAUGGAGCCAAGGGCCGCAUCCGGCCCGCGGGCCGUACGUUGGGCAGCCCUGUUCUAGGGGGUGGGAAUCCCAACGAGGAGUUUUUUUUUAAUCUAAGGAGGCGCAAAUCCUGGAGGCGGAGAUCCUGCAGAGGACAUAUUUCUAAAUCCACGGGGGUUCAAAAGUUCGAAUAACACGUUAUAGGGCAGCGGAAACCCCAUAGAGGACAUAUUUCUAAAUCUGGAGGGGCGCAAAACAGUUAGAACAAUACGUAAAGGAGGGCGGAGAUCCUGCAGAAGACAUCUAAAAGUUCGAAUAAUACGUUCUAGGGGCGGAAAUCCCGAUGCGAACAUUUUUUUUAAAUCUACAGGGGCGCAAUAAAAGUUAGAGGAUUGGCGAUUCGGGCGGAGAUCCUGCAGAGGACAUAUUUCUAAAUCUACAGAGGCGCAAACAGUUCGAAUAAUACGUUUUAGGGGAGCGGAAAUCCCGUAGGGGACAUAUUUUUAAAUCUAAGGGGGCGCAAACAAGUUAGAAGAAUACGUAUAGGAGGGCGGAGAUCCUACAGAGGACAUAUUUCAAAAUCUACGGGUGUGCAGAAUAGAGGAAUUCGUAUAGGAGGGCGGAGAU